UGGGGAAUUUUGGACAAUGGGGGCAACCCUGAUCCAGCCAUGCCGCGUGAGUGAAGAAGGCCUUCGGGUUGUAAAGCUCUUUUGGCGGGAACGAAAUCGCGUCCGUGAACAACGGGCGUGGAUGACGGUACUCGCAGAAUAAGCACCGGCUAACUACGUGCCAGCAGCCGCGGUAAUACGUAGGGUGCGAGCGUUAAUCGGAAUUACUGGGCGUAAAGCGUGCGCAGGUGGCUCUUUAAGUCAGAUGUGAAAGCCCCGGGCUUAACCUGGGAACGGCGUUUGAAACUGGAGAGCUGGAGUGUGGCAGAGGAAGGUGGAAUUCCUGGUGUAGCAGUGAAAUGCGUAGAGAUCAGGAGGAACACCGAUGGCGAAGGCAGCCUUCUGGGCCAACACUGACGCUCAAGCACGAAAGCGUGGGGAGCAAACAGG
rnacentral:rRNA from 1 species